GAUGAACGCUGGCGGCGUGCCUAAUACAUGCAAGUCGAGCGAACGGACGAUAAGCUUUCUUUUUUGAUGUUAGCGGCUGACGGGUGAGUAACACGUGGAUAACCUACCUAUAAUUCUGGGAUAAUUUCGUGAAACCGGAGCUAAUACUGGCUAAUAUUUUGUACCGCAUGGUUCAAAAGAGAAACACGGUCUUGCCGUUUCUUAUAGCUGGUUCCGCGCUGGAUUAGCUGGUUGGUAAGGUAACGGCUUACCAAGGCGACGAGGCGUAGCUGACCUGAGAGGGUGAGCGGCCACACUGGAACUGAGACACGGUCCAGACUCCGACGGGAGGCAGCAGUGGGGAAUAUGCGAAAAUGGGCGCAAGCCUGACCCAGCCAUACCGCGUGGGUGAAGAAGGUCUUCGGGUUGUAAAGCCCUUUUGUUGGGAAAGAAAAGCAGUAGGUUAAUACCCCGCUGUUCUGACGGUACCAAAAGAAUAAGCACCGGCUAACUUCGUG
rnacentral:rRNA from 1 species